GACAGAGGAUGCAAGCGUUAUCCGGAAUGAUUGGGCGUAAAGCGUCUGUAGGUGGCUUUUCAAGUCCGCCGUCAAAUCCCAGGGCUCAACCCUGGACAGGCGGUGGAAACUACCAAGCUGGAGUACGGUAGGGGCAGAGGGAAUUCCCGGUGUAGCGGUGAAAUGCGCAGAUAUCGGGAGGAACACCUAUGGCGAAGGCAGCUCGCUGGGACGUUACUGACGCUGAGACGCGAAAGCGUGGGGAGCAAACAGG
rnacentral:rRNA from 1 species